CAAUAGCGUAUAUUUAAGUUGUUGCAGUUAAAAAGCUCGUAGUUGGAUUUCGGGUGGGACGCAGCGGUCUCGCAUUGCGUUUGUACUGCUGCAGCCCUCCUUCUUGCCGGGGGCGGCCUCUCGGACUUCACUGUCUGGGGGUCAGAAUCGGCGAUGUUACUUUGAGUAAAUUAGAGUGUUCAAAGCAAGCUUACGCUCUGAAUAUAAUAGCAUGGGAUAACACGACAGGACUCUGGCCUAUCGUGUUGGUCUAUAGGACCAGAGUAAUGAUUAAGAGGGACAGUCGGGGGCAUUCGUAUUCCGUUGUCAGAGGUGAAAUUCUUGGAUUUACGGAAGACGAACAUCUGCGAAAGCAUUUGCCAAGGAUGUUUUCAUUCA
rnacentral:rRNA from 1 species